UACGAAGGGUGCAAACGUUGCUCGGAAUCAUUGGGCGUAAAGCGCACGUAGGCGGCUUCACAAGUCGGAUGUGAAAUCCCGUGGCUCAACCAUGGACGUGCAUUCGAAACUGCGAAGCUUGAGUAUGGAAGAGGGUCGCGGAAUUCCCGGUGUAGAGGUGAAAUUCGUGGAUAUCGGGAGGAACACCAGUGGCGAAGGCGGCGACCUGGGCCAAUACUGACGCUGAGGUGCGAAAGCGUGGGGAGCAAACAGG
rnacentral:rRNA from 1 species